GACGAACGCUGGCGGCGUGCUUAACACAUGCAAGUCGAACGGAAAGGCCCUGCUUUUGUGGGGUGCUCGAGUGGCGAACGGGUGAGUAACACGUGAGUAACCUGCCCUUGACUUUGGGAUAACUUCAGGAAACUGGGGCUAAUACCGGAUAGGAGCUCCUGCUGCAUGGUGGGGGUUGGAAAGUUUCGGCGGUUGGGGAUGGACUCGCGGCUUAUCAGCUUGUUGGUGGGGUAGUGGCUUACCAAGGCUUUGACGGGUAGCCGGCCUGAGAGGGUGACCGGCGACCAUGGGCCUGCGGUACGGCCCAGACUCCUACGGGAGGCAGCAGUGGGGAAUAUUGCACAAUGGGCGGAAGCCUGAUACGGCAACGCCGCGUGCGGGAUGACGGCCUUCGGGUUGUAAACCGCUUUCGCCUGUGCCGAAGCGUGAGUGACGGUAAUGGGUAAAGAAGCACCGGCUAACUACGUG
rnacentral:rRNA from 1 species